AACGGCUGAACUGGCAACUUGGAGAAGUGGCAAGUUUUAUAAUUAAUAGUAAUUAAUAUUUCUAUUUUUAUAAAAUUCUAUUAGAAUUGAAUGAAGCUUUGUUUAUAUAUUGAUAAUGACAGUAUAUAUAUCGUGUCUUGACUAAUUGCGUGCCAGCAGUCGCGGUAAUACGUAAGAGACUAGUGUUAUUCAUCUUAAUUAGGUUUAAAGGGUACCCAGACGGUCAAUAUAUCUUCUAUAAUGUUAGUACUUGACUAGAGUUUUAUGUAAGAGGGCAGUACUUGAGGAGGAGAGAUGAAAUUUCGUGAUACCAAAGGGACUCUGUAAAGGCGAAGGCAGCCCUCUAUGUAGAAACUGACGUUGAAGGACGAAGGCACAGAGAACAAACAGGAUUAGAUACCCAAGUAGUCUUUGCAGUAAAUGAUGAAUGCCAUAGGUCAGAUCUAAAUUUAAUGUUUAUAGAUUAUAAAGGGCCUGAAUUGGCAACUUUACAGAAAUUAUAAAUAUUAAAAAUUAUUUGGUCUAUAAAUGAAAGUGUAAGCAUUUCACCUCAAGAGUAAUGUGGCAACGCAGGAACUGAAAUCACUAGACCGUUUCUGACACC
rnacentral:rRNA from 1 species